UAGGGAAUCUUCGGCAAUGGACGGAAGUCUGACCGAGCAACGCCGCGUGAGUGAAGAAGGUUUUCGGAUCGUAAAGCUCUGUUGGUAGAGAAGAACGUUGGUAGGAGAGGAAAAUCUACCAAGUGACGGUAACUAACCAGAAAGGGACGGCUAACUAAGUGCCAGCAGCCGCGGUAAUACGUAGGUCCCGAGCGUUGUCCGGAUUUAUUGGGCGUAAAGCGAGCGCAGGCGGUUCUUUACGUCUGAAGUUAAAGGCAGUGGCUUAACCAUUGUACGCUUUGGAAACUGGAGGACUUGAGUGCAGAAGGGGAGAGUGGAAUUCCUUGUGUAGCGGUGAAAUGCGUAGAUAUAUGGAGGAACACCGGUGGCGAAAGCGGCUCUCUGGUCUGUAACUGACGCUGAGGCUCGAAAGCGUGGGGAGCAAACAGG
rnacentral:rRNA from 1 species